rnacentral:rRNA from 1 species
GAUGAACGCUGGCGGCGUGCCUAAUACAUGCAAGUAGAGCGAAGUGGGGACGGGUGAGUAACACGUAGAUAACCUCCUAUAAGACUGGGAUAACUUCGGGAAACCGGAGCUAAACCGGAUACUUAUAGAUGGAUCCGCGUUUCAUUAGCUAUUUGGUAAGGUAACGGCUUACAAAGGCAACGAUGCAUAGCCGACCUGAGAGGGUGAUCGGCAACCAUGGAACGAGGAAAGGGUCGAAACUCCUAGGGAGGGAAGCGGUAGGGAACCGUCCGCAAGGGGGGAAAGCCUGACGGGGAAACGCCGGGUGAGUGAUAAGGUUUUUCGGAUCUAAAAACUCUGUUAUUAGGGAAACGGUACCUAAUCAGAAAGGCACGGCUAACUACGUGCCAGCCGCCGCGGUAAUUC